UACGGAGGAUCCGAGCGUUAUCCGGAUUUAUUGGGUUUAAAGGGAGCGUAGAUGGAUGUUUAAGUCAGUUGUGAAAGUUUGCGGCUCAACCGUAAAAUUGCAGUUGAUACUGGAUGUCUUGAGUUCAGUUGAGGCAGGCGGAAUUCGUGGUGUAGCGGUGAAAUGCUUAGAUAUCACGAAGAACUCCGAUUGCGAAGGCAGCCUGCUAAUCUGCGACUGACAUUGAGGCUCGAAAGUGUGGGUAUCAAACAGG
rnacentral:rRNA from 1 species